UUAAAUUGAAGAGUUUGAUCAUGGCUCAGAUUGAACGCUGGCGGCAGGCCUAACACAUGCAAGUCGAACGGUAACAGGAAGCAGCUUGCUGCUUUGCUGACGAGUGGCGGACGGGUGAGUAAUGUCUGGGAAACUGCCUGAUGGAGGGGGAUAACUACUGGAAACGGUGGCUAAUACCGCAUAACGUCGCAAGACCAAAGAGGGGGACCUUCGGGCCUCUUGCCAUCAGAUGUGCCCAGAUGGGAUUAGCUUGUUGGUGAGGUAACGGCUCACCAAGGCGACGAUCCCUAGCUGGUCUGAGAGGAUGACCAGCCACACUGGAACUGAGACACGGUCCAGACUCCUACGGGAGGCAGCAGUGGGGAAUAUUGCACAAUGGGCGCAAGCCUGAUGCAGCCAUGCCGCGUGUAUGAAGAAGGCCUUCGGGUUGUAAAGUACUUUCAGCGGGGAGGAAGGUGUUGUGGUUAAUAACCGCAGCAAUUGACGUUACCCGCAGAAGAAGCACCGGCUAACUCCGUGCCAGCAGCCGCGGUAAUACGGAGGGUGCAAGC
rnacentral:rRNA from 2 species